GAUGAAGAACGCAGCAAAAUGCGAUAAGUAAUGUGAAUUGCAGAAUUCAGUGAAUCAUCGAAUCUUUGAACGCACAUUGCGCCCGCCAGUAUUCUGGCGGGCAUGCCUGUUCGAGCGUCAUUUCAACCCUCAAGCCCUCGGGUUUGGUGUUGGGGAUCGGCGAGCCUUUCUGGCAAGCCGGCCCCGAAAUCUAGUGGCGGUCUCGCUGCAGCCUCCAUUGCGUAGUAGUAAAACCCUCGCAACUGGAACGCGGCGCGGCCAAGCCGUUAAACCCCCAACUUCUGAAUGUUGACCUCGGAUCAGGUAGGAAUACCCGCUGAACUUAAGCAUAUCAAUAAGCGGAGGAA
rnacentral:misc_RNA from 1 species